rnacentral:rRNA from 1 species
AACAAACGCUGGCGGCGUGCCUAACACAUGCAAGUCGUACGAGAAAGGGUCCUUCGGGGCCUGAGUAAAGUGGCGCACGGGCGAGUAACGCGUGGAUAAUCUGCCCUUCAGUUGGGAAUAACUCAUCGAAAGGUGGGCUAAUACCGAAUAAUGCUGUGAGACCUCGGUUGAUCAGCCAAAGAGAGCCUCUGCUUGCAAGCCCUCGCUGAAGGAUGAGUCCGCGUACCAUUAGCUAGUUGGUAGGGUAAUGGCCUACCAAGGCGACGAUGGUUAGCUGGUCUGAGAGGAUGAUCAGCCACACGGGAACUGGGACACGGUCCAGACUCCUACGGGAGGCAGCAGUGAGGAAUCUUGCGCAAUGGGGGCAACCCUGACGCAGCAACGCCGCGUGAGUGAGGAAGGUCUUCGGAUCGUAAAGCUCUGUCGGAUGGAAAGAACCGCAUAGGGGUAAACAGCCCCUGUGUCUGACGGUACCAUCAAAGGAAGCACCGGCUAACUCCGUGCCAGCAGCCGCCGCCGUAA